UAGGGUGACCACUGUUCUGGUUUGCCUGGGACUGAGGAAUUUUCCAAGAGAAGGAACUUUCAGCUUUAAAACCAGGACAGUC
rnacentral:miRNA from 1 species